AUGAGGCUGCCUCAGGGAGAUUCGGGGAGUUGUUAUUCCAACACAUUAAGGUCUCCCCGAGCUGAGAAUCAAGAAUGGAUGGGUGUCCAGCGUUUCACCGGCGCGUCCUUCACUGGCUUAGGGCGCGAAGUCCACCGGGAGGCCGUGGGUUCACAGGGGGGUGAAGGAGGAGCCGCCUCGCCCGCCUCACUCCCCGACCUCUUUUGUCUGUUCCCUCUGGAGACCCUGGUUCCUUCCUCCCAAAGGAUAUGCCCGGGCUUUCUUCCCCUCCACGCCCGUCGCACGCAAGGCCGCCUUGUUUGUUUUUCCAGUUUCCCCCCGACCGUCCCGAAGAAGAAAACAACCGGGCCCUGAUGCCCUCCAGACGGAAGGGGACGCCGGAAGAGAAGGGAGGAGGAAGAGGCGAUGGUGAAGCCGAAGAAGCAAACACGCCGUCCGAAAAGGAAAAAAUAAACGCCGGCAGAGGAAUGCAAACGGGUGCCAAAGCACAGACACCCAUAUGGUGUUGGACUCCUACCCUAGCAUCUAGCAACAUCCUGAAGGCUUCACUUUGCCCACUCUUGACCUGCAGUGUUAAGAUGAGAUGCAGGAGAUGGCUGCAACUACUCUAAUUAGCUUCUAUCACAGGAAUGAAGAACCUUUAACGGACCAGAUGUUUUAGGAUAUAGACCAUAACCCCCUACCCUUAACCAUGCAGGGUGGCUGAUGUAAGUGUUAUAAACCAAAAUAUAUGGAGUGCCAAAUGUUUUCCAUAUCUACUUCAUCAGAUGUUGAGUUAGUCUAAAAACUGUGGUUAUAAGGACCCAGUAAGGUAUUAGAGAAGCACCUGGAAUAUAUGAGCUGCAGUAAGCAAAAGCAAAGUGUUAUAUUUUUGGAGGUAGUUGCACUGAUGUUAUCACAUACUGCUUUUUUUUUUGGAGAGGUACAAAUACAUGCAUUAUCCACAGCCCAAUUAAGCAAAAGCACUUGGAUUAAAUAAGAUUUGUAUCCCUGAUCCUAGAUAGUUUGUUCACUUAACUCAGUGGCUUAGGCAUCUGGCUGCUGAGCCAGAGGUUGAGACUUCAGUUCCCCGCUGUUGCUCCUUGACAAGAGCUGGACUUGAUGAUCCAUAGGGUCCCUGCCAGCUCUGUAGUUACAAAUGAUUAUUAAUUUGAUCCCUUAGGGUUCUUUCAAUGCCUCCUAUGGAAUCUGAUGCCCAUUCUUGCUGAGAAAAAAAACCUCACCAUGUUAAAUCAGUACCUAUGUCAUCCUUUUUUUUGUUGCUCCACAUAUUACAUGGCAUGGCAUGUGACAGGAAGUGAUGGAGACAGACCAGUGGCUUGCACACCCACCCAUCCUGUUUUUUGGUCUUUCAUGGAAGGAAAAAGUGGCACCUCCCUUCAUGCAUGAGGUGUGCUGAGAUGCACAGGCACCAAAUGCAGGGAGAACUCAAGCAUCAGAACUUGAAAGGGAGACAUAAUCCCCCUUUUUUGUACA
rnacentral:lncRNA from 1 species